rnacentral:rRNA from 1 species
AGAGAUGCAUUGGGCCGUAAAGCGUGCGCAGGCGGUUUUGUAAGACAGAGGUGAAAUCCCCGGGCUCAACCUGGGAACUGCCUUUGUGACUGCAAGGCUGGAGUGCGGCGGAGGGGGAUGGAAUUCCGCGUGUAGCAGUGAAAUGCGUAGAUAUGCGGAGGAACACCGAUGGCGAAGGCAAUCCCCUGGGCCUGCACUGACGCUCAUGCACGAAAGCGUGGGGAGCAAACA